GCCCGGGUGGUGAAACAGGUAGACACGCAGGACUUAAAAUCCUGUGGCUCGAAAGGGCCGUGCCGGUUCGAUUCCGGCUCCGGGUA
rnacentral:tRNA from 2 species